GAUGAACGCUAGCGACAGGCUUAACACAUGCAAGUCGAGGGGCAGCACAGGUAGCAAUACCGGGUGGCGACCGGCGCACGGGUGAGUAACGCGUAUGCAACUUACCUAUCAGAGGGGGAUAACCCGGCGAAAGUCGGACUAAUACCGCAUGAAGCAGGGGCCCCGCAUGGGGAUAUUUGCUAAAGAUUCAUCGCUGAUAGAUAGGCAUGCGUUCCAUUAGGCAGUUGGCGGGGUAACGGCCCACCAAGCCGACGAUGGAUAGGGGUUCUGAGAGGAAGGUCCCCCACAUUGGUACUGAGACACGGACCAAACUCCUACGGGAGGCAGCAGUGAGGAAUAUUGGUCAAUGGCCGAGAGGCUGAACCAGCCAAGUCGCGUGAGGGAUGAAGGUUCUAUGGAUCGUAAACCUCUUUUAUAAGGGAAUAAAGUGCGGGACGUGUCCCGUUUUGUAUGUACCUUAUGAAUAAGGAUCGGCUAACUCCGUGCCAGCAGCCGCGGUAAUACGGAGGAUCCGAGCGUUAUCCGGAUUUAUUGGGUUUAAAGGGUGCGUAGGCGGCCUUUUAAGUCAGCGGUGAAAGUCUGUGGCUCAACCAUAGAAUUGCCGUUGAAACUGGGGGGCUUGAGUAUGUUUGAGGCAGGCGGAAUGCGUGGUGUAGCGGUGAAAUGCAUAGAUAUCACGCAGAACCCCGAUUGCGAAGGCAGCCUGCCAAGCCAUGACUGACGCUGAUGCACGAAAGCGUGGGGAUCAAACAGGAUUAGAUACCCUGGUAGUCCACGCAGUAAACGAUGAUCACUAGCUGUUUGCGAUACACUGUAAGCGGCACAGCGAAAGCGUUAAGUGAUCCACCUGGGGAGUACGCCGGCAACGGUGAAACUCAAAGGAAUUGACGGGGGCCCGCACAAGCGGAGGAACAUGUGGUUUAAUUCGAUGAUACGCGAGGAACCUUACCCGGGUUUGAACGCAUUCGGACCGAGGUGGAAACACCUUUUCUAGCAAUAGCCGUUUGCGAGGUGCUGCAUGGUUGUCGUCAGCUCGUGCCGUGAGGUGUCGGCUUAAGUGCCAUAACGAGCACAACCCUUGCCACUAGUUACUAACAGGUAAAGCUGAGGACUCUGGUGGGACUGCCAGCGUAAGCUGCGAGGAAGGCGGGGAUGACGUCAAAUCAGCACGGCCCUUACAUCCGGGGCGACACACGUGUUACAAUGGCGUGGACAAAGGGAAGCCACCUGGCGACAGGGAGCGAAUCCCAAACCACGUCUCAGUUCGGAUCGGAGUCUGCAACCCGACUCCGUGAAGCUGGAUUCGCUAGUAAUCGCGCAUCAGCCAUGGCGCGGUGAAUACGUUCCCGGGCCUUGUACACACCGCCCGUCAAGCCAUGGGAGCCGGGGGUACCUGAAGUCCGUAACCGCGAGGAUCGGCCUAGGGUAAAACUGGUGACUGGGGCUAAGUCGUAACAAGGUAACCGU
rnacentral:rRNA from 1 species